GACGAACGCUGGCGGCGUGCCUAAUACAUGCAAGUAGAACGCUGAAGGAGGAGCUUGCUCUUCUGGAUGAGUUGCGAACGGGUGAGUAACGCGUAGGUAACCUGCCUGGUAGCGGGGGAUAACUAUUGGAAACGAUAGCUAAUACCGCAUAAUAGUAGAUGUUGCAUGACAUUUACUUAAAAGGUGCAAUUGCAUCACUACCAGAUGGACCUGCGUUGUAUUAGCUAGUUGGUGGGGUAACGGCUCACCAAGGCGACGAUACAUAGCCGACCUGAGAGGGUGAUCGGCCACACUGGGACUGAGACACGGCCCAGACUCCUACGGGAGGCAGCAGUAGGGAAUCUUCGGCAAUGGACGAAAGUCUGACCGAGCAACGCCGCGUGAGUGAAGAAGGUUUUCGGAUCGUAAAGCUCUGUUGUAAGAGAAGAACGAGUGUGAGAGUGGAAAGUUCACACCGUGACGGUAUCUUACCAGAAAGGGACGGCUAACUACGUGCCAGCAGCCGCGGUAAUACGUAGGUCCCGAGCGUUGUCCGGAUUUAUUGGGCGUAAAGCGAGCGCAGGCGGUUAGAUAAGUCUGAAGUUAAAGGCUGUGGCUUAACCAUAGUACGCUUUGGAAACUGUUUAACUUGAGUGCAAGAGGGGAGAGUGGAAUUCCAUGUGUAGCGGUGAAAUGCGUAGAUAUAUGGAGGAACACCGGUGGCGAAAGCGGCUCUCUGGCUUGUAACUGACGCUGAGGCUCGAAAGCGUGGGGAGCAAACAGG
rnacentral:rRNA from 1 species